rnacentral:tRNA from 1 species
UAGACGGAUGCUCACUGGUUAGAGCAUUUAGCUGUUAACUAAAAGUUUGUAGGAUCAAGGCCUUCCCGUCUAG